rnacentral:rRNA from 1 species
CAGUAGCCACGGUAAUACCAGCACCUCGAGUGGUCAGGAGGUUUAUUGGGCCUAAAGCAUCCGUAGCCGGUUGCAUAAGUUUUCGGUUAAAUCUAUGCGCUUAACGUAUAGGCCGCCGAAAAUACUGUGCAGCUAGGGAGUGGGAGAGGUACACGGUACUCGAUAGGAAGGGGUAAAAUCCUUUGAUCUAUUGAUGACCACCUGUGGCGAAGGCGGUGUACCAGAACACGUUCGACGGUGAGGGAUGAAAGCUGGGGGAGCAAACCGGAUUAGAUACCCGCGUAGUCCCUGUCUCUUAUAC